GCAGGUGAAUGCAACGUUGGGCGAUGAACGUUGUGCUCCAUAAUUGUAGUUUUUCUCAUCUUGAGUUUCACAGAAAAUAAUUGACCUUCAUUAUGCCGAUGUUAAUUUAGCAUCGGCUAUU
rnacentral:sRNA from 1 species